GCCAGGUAUGGUGGCUCAUGCCUGUGGUCCCAGCUACUCAGGAGGCUGAGGUGGGAGGAUUGCUUGAGCCUGGGAGGUCAAGGCUGCAGUGAACAGCCACUGCACUCCAGCCUAGGUGACAAAGCAAGACCCUGUCUCAA
rfam:Gorilla gorilla gorilla genomic chromosome, chr2B, whole genome shotgun sequence